CAAUAACAGUGGAGGCUGGCUCAGCUGGGUCUUUGGGAGUGGAAGAGCUAAUAAGAAGGAGGUUCAUCUACCUGAGGACAAAGACAGAUCUAUUGUCUGGGAUCCAACUCUGCACAGAUGGGUUAACAAAACUGAGCCCAAGGCUGAGGACAAGUGUGUACCACCACCUCCACCGAUGGGGACAUAUGGAUAUCAGGGGAACACUGGCAGUGUCCCCAAAGGAGUGAAUCCUUACUCUAUGAAAGCAGCAGGUCUAUGGGGCAGCAGAUACCCUACAAUGCAUUUCAAUGAUGGGACCAACUCAAAGCCUCCAAGCCAUGGGCCUGGACUGCUUACUAGACAGCUCUCUGGCUUGCUCCCUCCUUCACACUUUGACCUCAUGGCACCAAUGGUUGUGCCACCUGACACUCUACCUUACUGAGGUGACCGGGUGCCAUAGAAUUGACCUGGAUGGAUGUGCCUAGCGACAAGCUGCUGGAGCCCAUCAUCUGCAUGUCUGACAUGCUGUGCUCACUAUCCACCACGCAACCCACAGUCAACAUGGAGGUCUUGUUCAAGGUCAGGAAGUUCACAGAGGACUUAGAGCAGGAGGGUUGAGAGGCCCUACUACUCCUUACUCAGUCUCUCCUAUCAAGACCCAACUCCAGUCAAAUAGUAGCUACAGUAGUACAACACUACGAACCUGCAUUGGCAGGAAUGAUGGAGCAUUUAAAUUUACACACAAUUGGACAAUGGAAAUGUUUUUUUUGCAUACCCCAACUCCCUCUGAGACACCCACAAGUGCCUUGCUCAAGGGCACAGCGACAUCAUUAUUUAUUUCCCCAUGUGGUCGGCUCUGGUAUUUGAGCCAGCAACCUUUCGGUAACUGGCCCAAUGAUCUAAUCUUGAGGCUACGUGCCGCCCCUUAGAAUGUAGGGUGACUCCCCUAGUGGGUCCUGAACCCAGGUCAGCAGCACUACAUUCCUGUGUGUCUGUAUAGUUGAGGGUAUAUUGGUUUAGUAAUACUCAAUUCAGUUCUGGUACCAGAGGGGACCUCAAUGCUGUUACACGUAGCCAUGGUCGCCAAGCUACCCUGACUUAAUAAAACCUGAAUUCAAAAAGAA